AUAUCCCCUGAUCUGGCGAUUCCUACCCGCGCUGGAUAGCCAAGUUGACCUGAUGCUGUCGCGUGACCUGGAUUCAGUGAUUACGAGUCGAGAGCAGGCUGCCGUUUCGGAAUUCUUGAGUGAUCCAAAGAAGUCGUUUCAUGUGAUGCGUGAUCACAAGCAGCAUAAUAUUGGCAUAUUAGGAGGGACUUGGGCCGCCAAAUUAGAUGUGCCUCCCAUGCGAGAACUCAUGACGGCAGUUCUAUCUAGAAUGUUGAAAGACAAAAAUGCAAUUGAUUUUGGAGACCACCGGGGAAUUGAUCAGGAUAUGUUGAUGAAGUAUGUCUGGCCUUUGGUUGUGAAGAAAGGCUUGAUUUGGCUCAUGACAGCUAUUUUUGCAAGAAAUAUCCAUUUUCAGUCGGAUUUCCCACUCAAAGGACAAAAAGCAGGCCUCCAAAUUUCGUUGGAAGCGGUUUUUAUGGAUGACGAGCUUCAAUGGUUUGCCCGGAAGAGUGUCGACGAGGGCAUACAGAAUGGACUCAUUGUUAAUCAUUUCUACAUGGAGAAUCAAAUAAGGAUGGAAAUGGUUCUAUAA